ACGUAGGGGGCGAGCGUUAUCCGGAUUCAUUGGGCGUAAAGCGCGCGUAGGCGGCCCGGCAGGCAGGGGGUCAAAUGGCGGGGCUCAACCCCGUCCCGCCCCCUGAACCGCCGGGCUCGGGUCCGGUAGGGGAGGGUGGAACACCCGGUGUAGCGGUGGAAUGCGCAGAUAUCGGGUGGAACACCGGUGGCGAAGGCGGCCCUCUGGGCCGAGACCGACGCUGAGGCGCGAAAGCUGGGGGAGCGAACAGGAUUAGAUACCCUGGUAGUCCCAGCCGUAAACGAUGGACGCUAGGUGUGGGGGGACCUUCCCUCCGUGCCGCAGCCAACGCAUUAAGCGUCCCGCCUGGGGAGUACGGCCGCAAGGCUA
rnacentral:rRNA from 1 species